rnacentral:rRNA from 1 species
UACGGAGGGAGCUAGCGUUGUUCGGAAUUACUGGGCGUAAAGCGCGCGCAGGCGGCGAUCUACGUCUGGGGUGAAAGCCCGGAGCUCAACUCCGGGACUGCCUUGGAUACGGGAUCGCUUGAGGAUUGGAGAGGCAAGGGGAAUUCCACGUGUAGCGGUGAAAUGCGUAGAUAUGUGGAGGAACACCUGUGGCGAAGGCGCCUUGCUGGCCAAUUUCUGACGCUGAGGCGCGAAAGCGUGGGGAGCAAACAGG